rnacentral:rRNA from 1 species
AUUGAACGCUGGCGGCAGGCCUAACACAUGCAAGUCGAGCGGAUGAGAGGAGCUUGCUUCUCGAUUCAGCGGCGGACGGGUGAGUAAUGCCUAGGAAUCUGCCUGGUAGUGGGGGACAACGUUUCGAAAGGAACGCUAAUACCGCAUACGUCCUACGGGAGAAAGCAGGGGACCUUCGGGCCUUGCGCUAUCAGAUGAGCCUAGGUCGGAUUAGCUAGUUGGUGAGGUAAUGGCUCACCAAGGCGACGAUCCGUAACUGGUCUGAGAGGAUGAUCAGUCACACUGGAACGUGGACACGGUUCAGACUCCUACGGGAGGCAGCAGUGGGGAAUAUUGGACAAUGGGCGAAAGCCUGAUCCAGCCAUGCCGCGUGUGUGAAGAGGGUCUUCGGAUUGUAAAGCACUUUAAGUUGGGAGGAAGGGUUGUAGAUUAAUACUCUGCAAUUUUGACGUUACCGACAGAAUAAGCACCGGCUAACUCUGUGCCAGCAGCCGCCGUAAGAC